rnacentral:lncRNA from 1 species
CAUGGCCCCCUUAGCUCUGCGGGCCAUGUCCAGGUUCCGGAACCGCAGGAAGGCACGGGCCGCGCCCUGCCCCCGGGCUGGCCUCUUGCCGGCCACUUCCUCGCUGAUGCCGCGCUUCCCGGAGGCCCCGCGCAGCGCCCCCUGCGACACGACGUGGUCCAGGUUUCCGAUGUGCAGGUUUCGGGUGGCCCGCGGGUCGCCCUCGCAUCCCGCCGCGAGGUCGUAGGGGCGCCCGCGGUCGUGAUCCGGGGCGGCGGCGGAGACGAAGGCUGCGGCAAAGCGGGCACCAGGCUCCUGCUGGGCCGAGGCGGAGGCCGGGGACGCCCGGGCAGGGGCGGGGAGUCCAGCGGGCCGGCGGGGGCGGGCGGCCCGGGCGGCGCGGAGAGGGCGCUGCUGCUGCUACUGCUGGGGCUGCUGCUGGGGCUGCUGCAACCGGGCUGCUGGGGCUGCUGGGGCUGUCGUUGCUGCUGCUGCUCCCGCCGUUCCCGCCGCUUCCGCCUCGCAGGCCCUCGGGCUCCCCCUUCAGCCCAGGGUCCCGUUCCGCAGCAGCCGCGGGCCGCUCAGGGCUGCUCGCGGCCCGGCACAAGGCCACGUAGGACGCGCACCCCAGCCGGGUGCGCGCGACAGAAGCGAGCCGAGCUGCCCGAAGCGCGAAGAGCCGGUCCUCGACGUGCUCUGCGGGCCGCGCGGGGCUCCAACCCGCCGCUUGGGCUCAGGCGGCCGGGCUCGGGGAGGCCUGCGACGGUAGUGUGGCCUCCAAAAAUACUCCUAAAACAGAGCUGUUAAUACUGAAGAGUUAUAGACACCAGCAAUAUUCUGGCAUUGGUCCACUACCUGGUGCCCAGUGUCCCAUCGCCAGUGGCAGAGACCCAGCUAUGGUACUCAGCACAAGCUGGUAUGGACAGUGAUGACUGGCGGCAGCAGUGCCCAGCAGCUGGCAGUGUCCGCUGUUGGCGUCCAGUAUUCCCUAGUAACAUCAGAACUAUUAGAAGAGCUGCAGUUGGCCACUACAUGAUUGCCAUCUGAACUGAGCAAAAGAACCCUAAGCUGACUGGCAGUACCAGGUGGGAACUCAAGCAGGCCUCUUGAUGUUGACAAAUAUUAAGGUGUUUAACACAAACUUUUUAGACUUCAGUAGCAGUGAUCUAUUCACCACAAAAGAGGAACAGCUAGAUCUAUGAACCCAAAAAAAAGAAUUUUUGAAGAAUUGGAAAUUGGCAAGAUGGUCGCACAGUUUGAGAAGCCCUUCACACCAAGGUUAUCUCCAUAUACACUUCUGUGUACUGCAGAGCUCAGAAGAGCACUUAAUUUGGCAUUUCAGAUCUCACUUAAAGCACGGUACCUAAGCUACUUUAAAAUCUCCAUAAAGUAGUCAAGAAAAUCAUAUCUUCCUUUUGUUAUUGUGCUGUUGUUGCUAUUUUGAUCUUACAGGGGAAA